rfam:Ipomoea nil DNA, scaffold: scaffold2701, cultivar: Tokyo-kokei standard.
CCGACCAUAGCUCAGUUGGUAGAAUGGAGGACUGUUGUUUGAUUAAUCUAAAUUGGAAAUCCUUAGGUCGCUGGUUUGAAUCCGGCAGGUCGGA